GAAGAUUUGAGGACGGAAUUGGAUAUGUGUACCAAUAUGAAACUCCGGCUGGAUCUGAAAUUGAGGUGGACUCAAACAAUACUCCAAUAGCCUACCGUGGCAUGAACAAGCCUUUUGAGGCACAUCUCUCUGAUAAGGUGAUAAAUGUGAACAACAGUGCUGUCAUCCUCUCUGAAUGCCUGAAUCUGACAUUCACAUUCUUUCAUGUUCUACAGGGCAAGGUUGAGGAGUGCCAUUUGUAUUACAUUGUUGCAGGUAAAAAAUGAUGUUCCUAUUUUCUUUCAUUUUAAACUUCUUGCACUUUCAUAUUGGUACAUAUAUCCAAGGCAGUUAACGCUAAUUUCUCUGGAUAAGAGCGUCUGCUGAAAUGUAAAAAACGUAGACUGACAAUUCAACUGACAUUUUAAUUUACAAUCCGACUGACACCUCGAACAACACAUCAGGUAAGUACUCUUAACUACUAUAAAGACAGCUAAUUACUGUCUAUAGUAUCUCCAUCUGUAAUAAAGUACAUAUUCAAUUGAAAUGACUUUACUCUCUGAUUAAACUCAGGAAAUGGAGACAGAGCCAAAGCCACUAGCCACACAAAGGAAAUCACUGGUGAGUGUUUCCAUAUUGUUUCUUUUGUUUGACAUUCUACUGUCACCACAGCUCCUUCUUCUUUUUCUUCUGAACCCAAUUAUGGACAAAUGCGAUAAGACAAACAAACCCCUAACUAAAUCAGCAAGAGUUUUGAACAGUCUGGGUUCAGAAUGUGGACUAGUUGAUGUCUGGCGUGAGGUCAAACCUCAAGCCAAAGAUGAUACUUUUCUAAUGUACCCAACUCAUAUUCCAGAAUAGACUACUUAUUUUUCCCCAACAGCUAUCUGCUGUGAACAGUUGCUCUAUUGGUACGUUUGACUUAUACAAUCAUGUCAAAAUAUAUUUA